GUAACUGCGAGUGAAGCGGGAAAAGCUCAAAUUUAAAAUCUGGCGGUCUCUGGCCGUCCGAGUUGUAAUCUAGAGAAGUAAUGCCCGUGCUGGACCGUGUAUAAGUCUCCUGGGAUGGGGCGUCAUAGAGGGUGAGAAUCCCGUCUUUGACACGGACUACCAGUGCAUUGUGGUAUGCUCUCAAAGAGUCGAGUUGUUUGGGAAUGCAGCUCAAAAUGGGUGGUAAAUUCCAUCUAAAGCUAAAUAUUGGCGAGAGACCGAUAGCGAACAAGUACCGUGAGGGAAAGAUGAAAAGAACUUUGGAAAGAGAGUUAAACAGUACGUGAAAUUGCUGAAAGGGAAACGCUUGAAGUCAGUCGCGUUGGCCGGGGAUCAGCCUUGCUUUUGCAUGGUGUACUUUCUGGUUGACGGGUCAGCAUCAAUUUUGACCGCUGGAAAAAGACCUGGGGAAUGUGGCAGCUUCGGCUGUGUUAUAGCCCCUAGUCGCAUACAGUGGUUGGGAUUGAGGAACUCAGCACGCCGCAAGGCCGGGUUUCGACCACGUUCGUGCUUAGGAUGCUGGCAUAAUGGCUCUAAGCGACCCGUCUUGAAACACGGACCAAGGAGUCUAACAUGCCUGCGAGUAUUUGGGUGGAAAACCCAAGUGCGUAAUGAAAGUGAAAGUUGAGAUCCCUGUCGUGGGGAGCAUCGACGCCCGGACCAGAACUUUUGGGACGGAUCCGCGGUGGAGCAUGUAUGUUGGGACCCGAAAGAUGGUGAACUAUGCCUGAAUAGGGUGAAGCCAGAGGAAACUCUGGUGGAGGCUCGUAGCGAUUCUGACGUGCAAAUCGAUCGUCAAA
rnacentral:rRNA from 1 species